GAUGAACGUUGGCGGCGUGCCUAACACAUGCAAGUCGAACGUGAAAGCUAUCUUCGGGUAGCUGAAAAGUGGCGAACGGGUGAGUAACACGUAGAUAUCUGCCUUGAAGAGGGGAAUAACCAUUGGAAACGAUGGCUAAUACCGCAUAAUCUCGAAAGGGUAAAGCUGAGGCGCUUCAAGAGGGGUCUGCGUUCGAUUAGCUAGUUGGUAGGGUAAAGGCCUACCAAGGCGAUAAUCGAUAGCUGGUCUGAGAGGAUGAUCAGCCACACGGGAACUGAGACACGGUCCCGACUCCUACGGGGGGCAGCAGUGAGGAAUAUUGCACAAUGGGGGAAACCCUGAUGCAGCAACGCCGCGUGGAGGACGAAGGCAUUUGUCGUAAACUCCUUUUCUGUGGGAAGAGAAAGGACGGUACCAUAGGAAUAAGUCACGGCUAACUACGUGCCAGCCGCCGCCGUAACAC
rnacentral:rRNA from 1 species